AGGUUCUCACUUGAUAUGCAUUCUAUCCCAUGUGUGCUGGAAGUAAGAAAGCCAGACUGAAUAUUCUGCCUCUGCAGCACUGGAUGCAGGAAGAGCUGGAAGUGCUCGGACUGGAGGGUUUCUGGGAUGUCCACCUCCUUGUUUCCAGGCUGGGAUGAAGAAGACGAUGAAGAGGAGGAGGAAGCGGCUGCCAGCACCUUCCUGAUGUAAAAUUUCUUCAUGGUCACCGCUUCCCUUCUCUGCCUCUUGUUCCACCACCUUCUCCUCCACCACCACCACCUCCUCCUCCUCCUCCAGAUCCCACUCUCCUCUCACCCCCCCACCUUUCCUAUCCUCCUCCCUUCUCUUUUUUUUCCCUUUUAGUGUCUUGCUGUGGCUGAUGGGCACCCCACACACAGGAGGGUCCUGGCCCCCGGGGCUGGGGAGGGGGCUGCUGCAGGUGAUCUGUGCUGGAGAGGAGGAACAGCUACAGAUAACAAGCUGCUGAAUUGAAGCAAAUGGGGACUGGAUGUCUUCUGAUCGUGUUGUCCAGACGAGAAGCUCAGUCACUCUGCCGGGGAUACUAUACACAGGAAAAAUAUCAGUGCACAGCAAGAAGGAGCAACAAGGAGGAUGGAUUAGGAGGAAAUAAAUCCACGGAUGGAUUUCAGCCUAAAUUUCCUGAGGAUAGUUCUGUCAAUUGUAAUGAGUAGGACAGGGGCAGCAACUUCAUCUACAAAUGCAGGGUGUAGAUUCACUGAUCGAAGGAGGAGGAGGAGGAGAUUGUUUAAUCAUAGAAAAAAUUUGUUCCGAAUUCCUGAAACCAAAGUCCGAAAACGGUACAGAUUAUCCAGUGAUGCAAUACUUGAGCUAUACAAUAAAACCAAGGAAGACAUCACACCACGCACUAAGAGAAGUAAGGCUAUAAGCGGUCUCACAAAACUUUUGGCAACUUUACAUUAUCUUGCUUCUGGCUCGUUUCAAAGUACAGUGUCAUCAGUUGGCGGUGUGAGCCAAUCCUCUUUUAGCCGAUUUUUUGAGAAGGUGUUAGAUGCCAUCCUUAAGCACACCUCAGAUUACAUUCAUUUCCCAAAGACAACUUCAGAGUGGAUAAACCUAAAAAGGUUGUUUUUUUGAAAUCGCAAAGUUCCCUAAUGUGGUUGGGGCCAUCGAUUGUACCCACAUUCCAAUUUCGCCCUCAGACGAGUUAGAUGAGGUUUGCAGGAACAGGAAAAACUUCCACUCUAUGAACAUUCAGGCCAUCUGUGACCACAAUUAUACAUUUUUAAACGUCUUUGCAGCUUUUCCGGGGAGUACACAUGACGCCUACAUUUUAAGGCAUUCAAAUGUGUACCACAAGUUUGAAAACGGAGAUUAUCCAGACAGAUGGUUACUAGGGGAUUCUGGAUAUGGCUGCAGGCCCUAGCUAUUGACUCCUGUUCCAAGACCCAGGCAUAGAAAUGAAAAAAAAAAAUACAAUAGAGCUCAUAUUGCAACUCGUGGAAUAAUUGAGCGAGCGUUUGGCAUCCUAAAAGUCGCUUCCGGUGUAUUUCCCAUUCAGGUGGCACGUUACUAUAUUCUGCUGCAAAAGUCUGUAAAAUCUUCACCGUAUGCUGCAUUCUUCACAACAUGUGUAUUUCCUAUAGCAUUGAAUGGGAGCGAAAAGUUAGGCGCACUGAGGUAAAUGCCUCAAAUCCCUCUGAUGAAUAUCAUGGUAGUACCGUACAUGGUGCUGGUGUUCGUUCCCAAUUGAUUCAAAGUUAUUUUAGUUAAUGUGGACAAGAAACCUCUGCCUUUAUGAAUACAUUCCUGAUUUUUGUGUUAAAUACAGUGCUCAGAAUAGACAGUUAGGUUACUCAUUGGUUCGCAUGUUUCAAACUUGGCCGUGUUUAGCAACUUUCUGUUGUUGUUGUUGUUGUUAAAAAAAAAGUUAAAAUUAAAAAAAAAUCCUAAUAUGGACUUUAAAAAACUACAGUAAAAUGAGUAAAUGAUAACAAAAGUAAUAAAAAAUAUACACUGGUCUUCUGGUUCUUUCAAAUAUGAGUUUUAAUAAAUGCAAAAUUGGAAACAUAUUUAUUAUGCCAAAACAACAUUAGAAAAUAAAAAAUAAGCAACAAAAACACCUUUGCAAACCAAAUUUCCACAUGUUGUAAAAUUGGUAAUACUUUCAAACAAUUUCAGUGGCCAGUUUGAUCAAGCCUAGGAGAGUUUACAAAUAACCCAUCUGUUCUUAGUUCCAAUGUCACGCCCUGACAUUUGACAAUGUCAAAGAAGAGCAGAAUGGUUUGUUUCGUUAUCUGCAAGUAAUUCCUCACACUCAAAAGGAUGCAAAAUUCUGUGCCUCGAACAACUGUAAAAUAUUAAUCUUGAAUAAAAGAAAAUUGGUGUGAGUGACAGAGCUGUAGUGUCUAUCUGCAGCAGGCCUGCCAGAGUACAGGAGUUUUCAGAAAUAAAAUCCAAUAUUUCCACAAGGUUCAAGAAAUGAAAGAACUAUUUAAGCAGUAAAGUCUGUCACUUUUGAGCUUGUUUCAAAUUAUUUUCAAAAAUAAGGGGUAAUAAAAGUGUGUGGUUUUGAAAAAUACAAAAAUUACACCUGCUAUCAGACUUGUGUAAAAAGGUAUGUUUACUACCAAAAUUCCUGAAAUUAGACCUAAAGAAUCAUUUCUUAGAGAUGAUUUUAUACAUGGACAGAAAGGGAAAAUUAACCUACUAGACAGGGUAGAUCUUCCAUCUACCUUGCCCGGUAUGCUCAUUUUACCUUAAUAUUACAGUUCGAAAAUCAUAAUAUAUUUAAUUAUGUUGGAUAGUUCUAAAUAAUUUUUAAGAGUAAAAUAUAUAAUUCUCAACAAGUCACAUAGGACAUGUUUAAAGUAUUUUUUAUUUGCAUUUUGUUUUUUUCAAAAAACACAACUGUUCUAUUAGACCCUCCUUAGGUUUUUUUUGCACCAAGCUCACAGGUGACAGGCAUCAUCACUCGAAGGAUGAGAGUAAGUUUUCCUUUUUAUUCAAAUGAACAUUUAAGUUGCUGAAACAUAUGUCAAACAAAACAGUGUGAAAUCUAAAACAGUCCCUUAACGGAAUAUAAACUUCUGGGACAUUAAUUGAAAAAGAAACACAAAUUUGGGAUUCUACAUAUUACACUUUAACAGUCGCUGUAUUUUCCAAAAAAUCUGUAACCCAAGCGUAAAGGAUUCUAACUGAUAAUUUGGAUGUUAAAAGAAAAAUAUAUCUUCUUGCAAUGCAGAUCUCAAAUAGAGAACCGUCACCUGUAAAAAAAAAUAAAAAAUGGAUUUCA